GGUAAUAUAAAUGUUUUAAAAAUAGUUUGAGUUAUUAUAAAUAACUUUUAUAUUUUGGCAAUGGUUUCAUUAAUAGUUUAGUAUUAAUUAAACUAUUAAUGAUAAUGGAAUUGUUUAAUGUUUAAAUCAUUUAAUUAUGAUUCCGAUAUUUGAAAGUUAUAGCCGGCCAAACUAGCUGACUUGAGAACCGAUUAUGAAGUUCUGAAUUUGAAGAAGAACACCUAUAGUAACAGUUAUAUCACUAUAGGCCCUUUAGUGACAGAUUUGAAUUAUUUUAAAUUUUUCAAUUUCUGGAAAUUUCGAAAAUGAUUAAAAAUUAAGAUGUCUGAUAUUUACAGAUGUUGAGGUAUAAAAUAAGAGUCUUAGACUCAGUAUUUACCCGAUAAAGCUGUCGGUACGCCGACAAAUGUCAGACCCUAUAAUAGAAAGAAAAGGCUACUGUAAGAGCAUGGAUGAGAUAUUUGAAAAAUGUAUAAAAAUAUUUCAAGUAUAGAAUAUGAACUAAAAGUAUGAUCACUGCGAUUAUGUGAUGACGUGAUUAGACUAUGUGCUGACUGUAAUAGACAGUACUAUGUGUUAUGAUAUAUUGUUCUAAUCGAACGAAUGAUCUGAUUAUUGAUAGGUUGUGAUAAAAAAGAUAAAACCUAAGUUGGGAUUUGUAAUCAGCAAAUCAGGCAAGUAUCCUAUCUUUGCAUUUUCUUUAUGCAAUGGACAUGAGUAAGAAGUUUCAGAAUUAUUCUAUUCAUGUACAGAUUAUAUACGCUUUGAUUAUCAACAUGUUAGCUCAGAUAUAUAUUCUGUUAAGUUGAUUUCUAAAUGGUUAUACAAGUGUCCCCACUUGGAUAAUCAUGGCAUUUAUUCACAUGUUGAUAN
rnacentral:lncRNA from 1 species